ensembl:lncRNA
GGCAAAGUCACCGUUCAGUCAGCAUCGCGGACAGCCAGGCCCCGGGCGGCAGGACACGCUCAGCUCCAGCAGCAGAAGCGCUGAUGACACCGAGAUGGACUUGGUGAAACUCGGCAGCUGACUCUGGCUAUCACGUCUCUGAGUAGUGUUGGGCCAAAAGUAACGAAAUCUGCGAGGACCAGGCCUCAGUCACCCAUCUGGGAAAGGGGCUCCUCACCUGCCAUCAGGGUGGGAGGAGGACAGGACCCCUCAGCUGGGUGCUGCCCACCACAGAGACACCGUGCAGGUCAAGACAGAGGAGUGCUGGGCCCAGGCUGCCCACCCUGAGAGUGCUGUCACCUGGAGAGACCGAGGAGGGGAAAGAAAGAGCCAUCCACAGUCACCCUGGUGACACAGAGGCCGCCACCCGCUGUGCUCAGCCCUGGCCUUCAGGCUCUGGCGAACCUGAGCCUGCUUCCAUUCAUCUGCAAAAUGUGAAGAGGGAGAAGCUCCAGCCCCGUGCAGAGCUUCGACCCACGCAGCCCCGGGGUGCAGCCCUGAGUCCAGGCUCACAGGGCCCGGCCAGCACCCUCAGGAGCCCCUGGCUCCCACAGCUGUAACCUCACUGGGCCUCAGCUUCCUGGCGCUGCAGCGAGGACAUCUGCUGGCCCAGCCUGUGGUGCCGAGGUGCUGAGAACUGAGGCGGACAGCACCUGGCACCCAGGCUCCUCACCCCAACCAGCACAGGACCCAGUCAUCAGGUCCCCAUUCACGGGCUCGUGGGAUGUCAGGGCCCAGGCCACACAGCCGAGACGUGAGCCCAAGGCACCUGCGGAGGCAAUGAAGGGAAGCAGCACUGGUGUCUGGGGCCUGACGCCUCCCUGGGCGGGAGUGCCCUCCAUUGGCAAGUGUGCCGAGAGGUGACACGCAGCCCCAAGAGCCCAGGAAACUGAGUCACAGCUGAGACUGGCCGAGGGCCUGCGGUGCACCCAGUGCUUCUUAACCCGGCUCGUCCUCCACACCCACAGGAAGGGUUCGCCCUCUGCUUCCACCAGGGGGAUGGAGAGAUCAGGGCAAAGCCUGGGGCGGUGCACCCAUCGUCCCAGCACUCUGGGAGGCUGAGGCAGGAGGACGGCAAGCUCCAGGGCAGCCAGGGCAGCUCGAGGACUUCAACAAGGCCCUGUCUCAGAACAGGAAAUGAAAACAGGGCUGGGCAUGCGGCUCAGUGUGAAGGCCCUAGGCCCAGUCCCCAUACUGAAAAGUAGAUAAAGCCCACCUCCUCUGCUACACACACUCAUACUCGCAUGUGUGCACACACAAGUAAAUUCAGCCUUGUGCAGCCUGUUGUUAGCAGGGUUUUGUGAUUUUUAAAAAAUGGUCAGAAAUAAACAGGGACCGUCCAGGCCAGAAGGGAGGGACCAGACUUGGGGGGAGGCUGGGCAGGUCUGCAGGAGAGAGGCACACAGGGUCUUGAACAGGAAAUGCAGGGCAAGGAAGACAGCAGGAUGGACACCGGGAAGGCCAGG